UCACACUAACUUUGGGUCAGGGGAUCAGAAACCACAAAAACAAAGGGUCGAACCCCCUUCGACGCCGCCGGCGACGCUGCCGCCGCUCUCGCACGGCGCCGUGGCCAUAGAGUUCGACGACCACGGGUGAAUGCCGGGUUGGAGUUGAUUGUCGUUGCAGGCUCCCGCGCCGUCCUGGACCUCGAGUGAGAUGGCAGCUGCUCCUCCAUUUCUCCGCGGCGAAUCCUCCACCCCACCACUCGAGCAACCCCUCACUAGCGCCAGAUCGAUCCCAGUGACUUGGCAUACAGGGAUCCUGCUCAAAGUAUGGGAGAAUCGUAGCGACUCCUACUUCAGAAGAUCGAGAAGGAUGAGCAUAUGAAAGAGAAGAUCAGAGCCUGAUGGGUGUGGUCCGACGGUUAUCGGAAUUCAGAAGACAUAUCUCGGAGCUUGUGCUAGUGGUCAAGAAUUGAUCAGGAGCUUGCCUUGCUUCAUUGUUGGGAGAUGAGUGUGGGGACUUUGUAAGGAAGCUAGCUAGACAGCUACUGACGGUGGUCAAGUACCGCGAGUGGGGAUCCGAUGCGACCCCAUUUACAGAUCCGGCUUGGAGUUAGUUCGUGCGUAGGGAUUCGAGAGGUGUUUAGAGGAGUUAGUGUGUGAUUUUGCUAAGAGGGCUUUUAGACAGGUUCAGGCUGCUCAGAAGCAUAACACCCUACGUCGUGUGUGUUCUGUUGUUUUUUGAGUUGUCUGUCUUGUACAAGAGCCGAGCCGACCUUUGUGUUCUGUUGUUUUUUGAGUUGUCUGUCUUGUACAAGAGCCAAGCCGACCUUUUAUAGGCUAGGCCCAUGGGACGGGUUGAGGCGAGCCUUGCUCCCCUAUCCAUCCAUUUACACUGUCUAUGUGAACGUGGCGGCCCCAUGGCUGGUCUCCUUGCUACACUUCCUCUGACACAUUGCCCACUUGUUCUGGCGC